rnacentral:rRNA from 1 species
GGUUGAAGCUGGUGUAAGAGCCAGUGGAGGACCGAACCCGCUGACGUUGAAAAGUCUUGGGAUGACUUGUGGAUAGGGGUGAAAGGCCAAUCAAACUUCGUGAUAGCUGGUUCUCUCCGAAAUAUAUUUAGGUAUAGCCUUGUGUUGUAGCAUAUAGGGGUAGAGCACUGAAUGGGCUAGGGCUGCUUACCGCGGUACCAAACCCUAUCAAACUAUGAAUACUAUAUGUGGAAUCACAGGAGUCAGGCGGUGGGUGAUAAAAUCCGUCGUCAAGAGGGGAACAACCCAGACUAACAGCUAAGGUCCCUAAGUUACAUCUAAGUGGAAAACGAUGUGGAGUUACUGUGACAACCAGGAGGUUGGCUUAGAAGCAGCCAUCCUUUAAAGAAAGCGUAACAGCUCACUGGUCUAGUGAUUCUGCGCGGAAAAUAUAACGGGGCUAAGAUGUACACCGAAGCUUUAGAUUCAAUUUUUAAUUGAGUGGUAGGAGAGCGUUCUAUUCAGCGUUGAAGGUAUACCGGUAAGGAGU